UCUCCGUAGGUGAACCUGCGGAGGGAUCAUUACAGAGUUCAUGCCCUACCGGGUCGAUCUCCCACCCUAUGUUAUUAUUACUUUGUUGCUUUUGCGGGCCGUUAGGCUCCGGCCCGACUACCGGCCCCGGCUGGUAAGCGCCCGCCAGAGGACCCAAAACCCUGAAUAUUAGUGUCGUCUGAGUACUAUAUAAUAGUUAAAACUUUCAACAACGGAUCUCUUGGUUCUG
rnacentral:misc_RNA from 1 species